rnacentral:rRNA from 1 species
GAGAUUCGCUAGAGAUAGCUUAGUGCCUUCGGGAACUCUGAGACAGGUGCUGCAUGGCUGUCGUCAGCUCGUGUUGUGAAAUGUUGGGUUAAGUCCCGCAACGAGCGCAACCCUUAUCCUUUGUUGCCAGCACGUAAUGGUGGGAACUCAAAGGAGACUGCCGGUGAUAAACCGGAGGAAGGUGGGGAUGACGUCAAGUCAUCAUGGCCCUUACGAGUAGGGCUACACACGUGCUACAAUGGCAUAUACAAAGAGAAGCGAACUCGCGAGAGCAAGCGGACCUCAUAAAGUAUGUCGUAGUCCGGAUUGGAGUCUGCAACUCGACUCCAUGAAGUCGGAAUCGCUAGUAAUCGUAGAUCAGAAUGCUACGGUGAAUACGUUCCCGGGUCUUGUACACACCGA